rnacentral:lncRNA from 1 species
UCCACAGAAUUAGAGCACAAUCCACCGAAAACAUUUUGCGGUCCACAGGCAUGGUCCACGAUGGAAGAAAGUUUUCUUUGCACGAUCCAACGGUCCACAUUCAUCCCGACCCAGAUCGAAUGGCUGACAGUAUUUUCGAGUGUAAUAAGAAUUCCUAAGCAUGAUCUGAUAGCUCAGAUUCCAUCCAUCAUACGAUCCAAUGGCUGAGGAUGCUCCCGA